UCUUUCAAUCAUUUCUUCUUGGCCAACCUUAUCACUCCGGCUUAUAUUUUCAAGGGAAAGAGUGAGGUUAAAACAUUCAUGAUUGGAGGUUGAGGGUACAUCUCUAUGAGUGAAAGGCUCUACGAUCUGUAUAUGAUUUAUAUGUUGUAUAGUUUGUUUAGGUGUGGAGUGUAGAGGUGAUGUUAGUGGUGUUGAAAGAAUGUUUGAUAUAUUUAUUGAUAAGGGA
rnacentral:lncRNA from 1 species